rnacentral:lncRNA from 1 species
UCUCAGUUCUACAACAUGUAUGAGCCUGAUGGAGAUGGCUCCUUGUCUUCCUGUGGUGUCAGUCAAGAAAGCACGAAGAACUGGGGUGUGAAUGGACCAUUCAGCUUGUGUCCUGGUUCUGGGUCUCAGACAUUGCUGUGGGCUGGAUUCCCAUCUCUCCCCAAGUUCCCAAACUGAACACAGUGUUCCAGGAGUGACUGUGCACAGUGAGGGCAACAGAACUGUGGUGAGAGAAGCCUGGGAAGUAAACUGGUGAAUGCCAGUGGCCAUAUCAGAGGAGUUGCAGACAAUGGAGCUUGUGGAACAGAGCUCAGAGGAUGACAAAGCCACUCUGGGUACAUCAUGGAGAGGCAAAGCCCCAGGAGAAUUGUCUCCAGAAUGCCCCUUGCUUCCACUAUGCUUCCUCCUGCUUGCUGCUGCCAUGUUCCUGCUAUAUUUGGCAAGGUGUGAUUACUAUGUGAAAGGAUUCCCACUGUAUCCAGUAUAGUGUGAUGGUUUCAUGGGAAAAUCCCACUCCUCGUUGGGCAAUUUACUUGCAGAUCAUAAUGAAGAUCAGUUUUGUAAGAGCAAUGACGGUUGGUUAGAUCUAUGAUUUAAUUGGUCUUUCUGAAUUAGCCCAAGAUACAAGUGGUUAGGACAGUUAGUAAUUGUUCUGCCAAUUGUUCCAAUAAGAGACACAAAAAAGGCAAAAAAAAAAUAGGCUAGAAGUCACCUUCCCCUUUGUUAGAUAUGAGAUUUUCAGAGAAUGAAAAAUAUGAACAAGGGGGUUUCGUGCAUUAUAGACCCAUGAAUCCUACCUGUGGAAAAAACUAAAGAGAACAAUUAUUUCCCUACACCCAAGCAAGGUUAGGCCUAGAUCCUUGGUCUUAUAAUUUACAGAAUUGAUCACAGGCCCCAGUAUGUACCUUGAAAAAAACAAAGUUAUUAAAAUUAAAUGACCCUAUUGUGUGUAAAGGAAAACAGAUGGUGAACUGACCAUUGGUUUAAAGUUUCUCUAGAGAAACUUCUAAGAAUAGAAAUUCUAUAAUUCUAUUUCUUAGAAUAGAAAUCUGUUACACUGAACUGCAACAGCUGUC